GCUUCCGUAGCGCAGUUGGUAGCGCAUUUCACUCGUAAUGAAAGGGUCACCGGUUCGAGUCCGGUCGGAAGCUUCA
rnacentral:tRNA from 2 species